rnacentral:snRNA from 1 species
UUACUUACCUGGACGGGGUCUAUGGCUGAUCAAGAAGAGUCAUAGCCCAGGCUAGUGGCCUACAUUGCAUUUUGUGGGCGCGCUGGCCUACCAUCUCCCCUUUAAGAGAGAGUGGACCUCAUGAUUAGAGGGGGUACGCGCGAGAGUGGACCUCAUGAUUAGAGGGGGUACGCGUUCGCGCGGCCCCUGC